rnacentral:rRNA from 1 species
GAUGAACGCUAGCGGCAGGCUUAACACAUGCAAGUCGAGGGGUAACGGGGAAGCUUGCUUCCGCCGACGACCGGCGCACGGGUGCGUAACGCGUAUACAAUCUACCUUAUACUGGGGUAUAGCCUUUAGAAAUGAAGAUUAAUCCCCCAUAGUCUCUUAAAGUGGCAUCACUUAAGGAGUAAAGGUUACGGUAUAAGAUGAGUAUGCGUUCUAUUAGUUUGUUGGUGUGGUAACGGCACACCAAGACUACGAUAGAUAGGGGCCCUGAGAGGGGGAUCCCCCACACUGGUACUGAGACACGGACCAGACUCCUACGGGAGGCAGCAGUGAGGAAUAUUGGACAAUGGAGGCAACUCUGAUCCAGCCAUGCCGCGUGCAGGAUGACUGCCCUAUGGGUUGUAAACUGCUUUUAUACAGGAAGAAACUUACACACGUGUGUGUAACUGACGGUACUGUAAGAAUAAGGAUCGGCUAACUCCGUG